rnacentral:rRNA from 1 species
UACGUAGGGUGCGAGCGUUGUCCGGAAUUAUUGGGCGUAAAGAGCUUGUAGGCGGUCUGUCGCGUCUGCUGUGAAAAUCCGGAGCUCAACCCCGGACUUGCAGUGGGUACGGGCAGACUAGAGUGUGAUAGGGGAGACUGGAAUUCCUGGUGUAGCGGUGAAAUGCGCAGAUAUCAGGAGGAACACCGGUGGCGAAGGCGGGUCUCUGGCCCAUAACUGACGCUGAGGAGCGAAAGCGUGGGGAGCGAACAGG